rnacentral:tRNA from 1 species
CAGGGAGACAACAAAAUGUUUAAUAUUAUUAUUUUGUCACCUUAGGUCGAUCGGUAUCUCACGUUUUUAAUUUAUUAAGAAUUUCAUUUCCUAAGUUUUUCUAGGUCACACCCAUUAUUUUUCCUGGGCCAUUAGCUCAGGUGGUUAGAGCGCACCCCUGAUAAGGGUGAGGUCCCUGGUUCAAGUCCAGGAUGGCCCAUAUCUCUAUGUUGGGGGUAUAGCUCAGUUGGUAGAGCGCCUGCUUUGCAAGCAGGAUGUCAGCGGUUCGAGUCCGCUUACCUCCACUGAUUACCACCUCUUCCAUAACCGGUAGAAAGGAAAUGUUUUGAGUUGUGAUCAAUUCUGAAAGAAUCUAGCUUCCUAAUGAAAUCAUUAAGAUGCUGGACUCAUUGAAUUAAUUUCAUUGUUUUCAGAGAACCUUGACAACUGCAUAGAUUAUUUUUAAAGACAAUAAGCAUCUUUAAGAUGCAGAUUUAUUAUUUGUGCGAAUGCAUUAAAUAACAAUUCUAUUAAGCUGAUGCUUCAAUUUUUGAAGUUAUU